GGAGAGAUGGUCGAGCUGGUUGAAGGCACCGGUCUUGAAAACCGGCGAAGUGAAAGCUUCCGUGGGUUCGAAUCCCACUCUCUCCGCCA
rnacentral:tRNA from 1 species